rnacentral:tRNA from 1 species
GCCCCCGUAGCUCAGGGGAUUAGAGCGUCGGUUUCCUAAACCGUGUGCGAAGGUUCGAAUCCUUCCGGGGGCGCCU